rnacentral:rRNA from 1 species
GUUAGGAAUAUUCGUCAAUGGGGGAAACCCUGAACGAGCAAUGCCGCGUGAAUGAUGAAGGCCCUCUGGGUUGUAAAAUUCUGUUGUUGAGAAAGAAUGGUAAGGCGAGGAAAUGCGCUUUACUUGACGGUACUCUUCAAGAAAGCCACGACUAACUACGUGCCAGCAGUCGCGGUAAUACGUAGGUGGCAAGCGUUAUCCGGAUUUAUUGGGCGUAAAGCGUGCGCAGGCGGCUUGCUAAGUCUAAGAUAAAAGCCCGGAGCUCAACUCCGGUUCGUCUUAGAAACUGGUAGGCUCGAGUAUGGUAGAGGCAAAUGGAAUUCCUAGUGUAGCGGUAAAAUGCGUAGAUAUUAGGAGGAACACCAGUGGCGAAGGCGGUUUGCUGGGCCAUUACUGACGCUCAUGCACGAAAGCGUGGGUAGCAAAUAGGA